GACUGGCAUGCACCUGUGACUUACAUAAACCAGACCUCUACAUAGCCUACAUGUCUUCAUUUUGCUGAAGACUGCCCAUCAUCCUAGCCUGUUAUCUGUGAUAAAGCACACUGAAGUUAGGUUUGGAAUGCAUCCUUAUCAUGAAUGCUCUACACCUCCACCUCCAUCUCCCACAACCUAGGUAACAGCUUUGAGACUCACUAAAAGUUGAGUCCCCUGAAUGAUGUAGGCUAUGGGGCCACAUAAGACUUUGUCCAUCCAGGGUUACAUUGAACGACAACUUUAAACUAAAAAACCAACAUUUUUCACACAACUCCAGGUUGUUACUAACAAAUUACUACAAGUGUCAUCAAGGGAUAACUACAAGUAGAAGCACCAUUUUUGGAUGGAAAAAACCCUUCAGGAAAGUAUACGUAUCACAUGUAACAUGUAGUGUAACAAAGUAUGAACAGUAAGGUUUUUACAUACGUACAUAACUUUUUUUUACAGGAAUUUCCAACCAAGUUUGAUUAUGUACAUACAUGUUAUAAACCACUGUACGUAUGGUUACUGUAUGUAACUUACUAAACAUACAUACAUGACUUAACUUUGAUACUUUUUUGGUACAUUCCAGAAAACCAGGACCCCCUCCAUGAUGCAGGCUAUGGGGCCACAUAAAACUUUGUCCAGGGUUACUACAUAACAUAGCACGACAACUGUAAACUAUGUACUACUGUACUAAAGAACCCCCUGAAUGAUGUAGGCUAUGGGGCCACAUAAGACUUUGUGCAUCCAGGGUUACAUAGCACGACAACUUUAAACUAAAGGUAAGGAAUUAAUUAACAUACAUUAACUAAGUUUUAUACAUGUUAUAUAUGUGAUAUUAAACCACUGUAUGGUGCAUAUUACUGUAUGUAACUUACUAUGCAUAGAGUACUUACUGACAUACUAAUUAUUUUUUGUACAUUCCAGAACCCCCUGAAUGAUGUAGGCUAUGGGGCCACAUAAGACUUUGUGCAUCCAGGGUUACAUAGCAUGACAACUUUAAACU